UCUGUCUUUCUUUUCGCACGUCAUGGCGGACCGGUUCAAUAAGGUUCUGCUACUGGAUGGCAGGGGCCACCUUCUGGGGCGGCUUGCUGCCCUUGUGGCUAAACAGGUUUUGCUGGGACACAAAGUGGUGGUGGUGAGAUGUGAAGGAAUCAAUAUUUCUGGAAACUUCUACCGCAACAAGCGUAAGUAGGCUACAUGCCAGUUAAAUUAAGCUUCUUUCAUUGUUCCUCGAUUUAUGCUUGUCAGUGAUGUUUUACCACUGUUAU